UCCUCCUUAGUACAGUGGUGAGUAUCCCCGCCUGUCACGCGGGAGACCAGGGUUCGAUUCCCCGACGGGGAG
rnacentral:tRNA from 1 species